CUGUGGUCCGCCCGGUUCUCACUGUUUGGCAAGACGGGAAACGGUCAAUUGGUCCCCGGAUAAUUGUUCCCAGCGAAAAAACGUUGUAUGUGGACAAUCAACCCCCGUCAUAAUUUUAUACACAGACAAUUGGUUCAGGGAAAAUUUUAUUUUCAUACUUUUGAAUAGUUCACCAACUACAUAUCGGAACCGUUCAACAAUAAAUUACAACAUAAUAUGUUGACAAUAUUACUGUUCAGAUUAUGCAUCUAAGUAUUUAUUUGUUUAUUGAAUCUUAUAUCUGUAGAUAUCGUUUUUCCGAAAUAGGUGCUUAUCAAUUUUUCGAACAAGA